GGCGGCGGCGGCAAACAGAGCUGCAGUGUAGAGGGCGCGGUGGGCCGCGGGCGGCGGCGACCGGCCGGUGGGUCCGCGGCAGGCUGUAGGCCAAGGGGGCUCAGGUCAUUACUAAAGUACGGGACAUCAGAAAGCGAGUUGAAGUCGGUAGGCUUGAGAGGAUUCGUAACUGGAAACUCAAAGCUCUCAAAGUUCUGUGCUGGAUCAGGCAAACUGGUAACACUAGAACUAUGACCUGGUUGAGGCCAGCACAGUGGAGGGACAUCAUAGUUGAGACAGCUAGAAGAGGAGUUGGAGUCAUUGUCGAGGCUAGGCAAGAACAGAGCUACCAAUGCCUCCAUGGACUCAUCCACAUGCUCAUAGGUGAAGCAGUGAUCAUCAGCUCCAAGCAACUGCGCCAUCAUGUCAGUUUCCAUUGAUGGCGCAGACGAAGUGUAGGAGCUCUCUGUUUCAGUAGAGUUGGAGGGCUCAAGGCAAGGAGAGGCACUAGCUUGGAGAAGUGCUGAUGGUACAAUGUCUGAAGCUCUGAAUGCUCCUGCCGUGUGCUUGCAGACGGUAUUUGUAGGGUGCAGCAGUGCAGGUGGCCCCCAUUUUUGACGAUAUAUUGCUUCACAAUCAGCACCAAAUUGUCUGGCUCUUGUAAGUUAUCUCCAGAGUCAACCCAGUUGGGACGGUGUUAAGUUGUUGCAGCCGAAUUCUUGAUCUUGAUACCGACAGGAUAAUAAAAGCCGCAUGCGCAAUUAUGUCGAGAUAGGCAAGCGAUGGUAUUGUUUAUCUUCCCGGCAAGAUUAGGAAGCUGAUAUUGUUUAUUUUGGGGAGGAGAUUGGCUUGGCCAUUUGAGCAAUUACUCGCAUUGUAGAUCGUGGGGAGUGGUGGUGAGCUGAAGGCAGGAGGGAUUAUGUGAAUUAAGUUCUUCUGGUUGUUGUAAAAGUUAAGACCAGUCAUCAAUGGCUGUGUGAUCAUGUCAUUCUGUGCUUCCCAUGAAGGUUGCAGAAACAAUUGUUCCCAUUUUCAGCAACUUGAAGAGCUGUCAGAUCCCAAAAAUGGGGAGAAAAACAGAUUCCAUAGCACAGAA